rnacentral:rRNA from 1 species
CCUACGGGUGGCAGCAGUGAGGAAUCUUGGUCAAUGGACGAGAGUCUGAACCAGCCACGUAGCGUGAAGGAUGACUGCCCUAUGGGUUGUAAACUUCUUUUAUAUGGGAAUAAAAUGUUCCACGUGUGGGAUUUUGUAUGUACCAUAUGAAUAAGGAUCGGCUAACUCAGUGCCAGCAGCCGCGGUAAUACGGAGGAUCCGAGCGUUCUCCGGAUUUAUUGGGUUUAAAGGGAGCGUAGGUGGAUUGUUAAGUCAGUUGUGAAAGUUUGCGGCUCAACCGUAAAAUUGCAGUUGAAACUGGCAGUCUUGAGUACAGUAGAGGUGAGCGGAAUUCGAGGUGUAGCGGUGAAAUGCUUAGAUAUCACGAAGAACUCCGAUUGCGAAGGCAGUUCACUGGACUGCAACUGACACUGAGGCUCGAAAGUGUGGGUAUCAAACAGGAUUAGAUACCCGAGUAGUC